AGCUGGUCCAAAGGUAGUGAGUUACCUUACUUGAUUGGUUGCAAGUCAGUUACAUAUUGCAUUCCUUGUUCUGCCCUUUCUGCCCUUCUCACUACUGCAUUUGACUAGUCUUAA
ensembl:misc_RNA Y_RNA Y RNA